CCCUUCGAGGAGGUGCCGGCAGAGCACUCCCAGAAGCACCUAGAGAAGCUGUAAACGAGUCGGCUUAAUGAACUCAGGCGGCUCCUCCCAUCACGCAGGUUUCAGAAGGGCUUCAGCGCCUGGGAGCCACCAGGCUGCUCAUGCACCGCCGGCACCAGACUCUGCUUGGAAGCUGUGCCUGUGCCACUGCAACCCCCACUGCACUCGGAGGUGAAGAGCAGUGACAAAAUGCACUGAGACAGACGUGGGGCCUGGCCACCAGCGUGAGCGCAGAGGGCAGGACCAGGACCCUCCUUCCCCAUCAAACUCAGCAGCUUCCCAGUUCCGCAGGGCACCGUGCCAUCAGGACCUCCAGGGAGGUUUCUGUAGAGGAAAGUGUAUUUUUGUGCCUGGAUGUUCAAGCCGAGCAUCUCUUGAGGAGGAGCAGAGUCUACUAUUUUUAUUUAUUGACUUUUAAAGGAGAGUUAAGAACAAUUUAUCAAAAAGCAGUGGAGAAUCUGGUAAUUGUUUAAUUUCACAACAGCAGGGUUA